CUCAGGCCUCCUCCUCCUCCUCACGGCCUUCCCUUGAUUCCUCCUUCAGGUUCUCGGCCAUGAGCUUCAUUUGCUGUUGAGAGAACACAGGACACUGGCCACAGGACCACGCCCGGCCAUCCCGUGCCACCGGGGGCAUCCUAUGAAAUCUCGCUGAGGGCCAGGCCGAGACGGAGGCGCAGCCCGCCAGGCUCAGAGGGAAGUGUCGGAAGGAGCCCGCGCCCGAGGACGAGGCGGCAGCGGUGGGGGAGGAGGUCCUGGGGCCCCACCCUCGCAGCCCCCUGUCCCGUGGGUGCUGGAAAACACGACUGUGGCUCUGCUUGUUUGCUGAAAAAAUGAGUAACUCCUUUGGAAUUUGGCCUAAAACACACACGCUGAUUUUCGAUAACCGUUACUUACUUACGGGAAACACAAAACUCUGCGCACAACGUCCGCCGCUGCCCCAGGAACCUGGCCGCCCCUGUGGGAGCCCCCCAGCCCCCCCCCCCCCCGGCCCCACGCGGGGCUGGCCAGGACACCACGUGCCCUCUGGCUUUCAGGGCGAGGAACCCCUUUCGUGGACUAUCAAGAGCCUCCGUCUCCCGCUUCAACCCCAUCUCCCCUUGUGAGGACCCUCAGAUCUGCCGGGCCUCCGGAGACCCCACUUCAUCCCAGAAGGUUCCCUUCUCUGAGCCCGGCCUGUCUUCCACGGGAGGCACUGCGACGGGAGCCUGCGGGCGGCCGCUCUCCCCGUGGGCCGGGAACUGCCGGGCCUUUGCUCGUCCGCAGCAGGCUCUGGGAGGGCUCGUGCUGGGGAAGGGGGCAGGCGGGUCACGGCGACCAGUCUGCGGGGGAGCGGGCUCUCCCUGCAGGGGACACGGCAGGCCGACCGGAGCAGGACGCGGGCGCACGAGCGGACCCUGGCCGGAGGACCCACAGUGGCGAUGUCUGCACAACCUUCGGCCUGAGGGGCGAUGGUGACAGCUUGACUUAGUUCGCCAACCGGGAGGAGCAGAACUGCCAGGCCACGUGAGGGUCGAGCCCACUUCGCCUGCUAACGGCUGAGGGUGGCCGGCUCCCGAGCUCAGGGGGCAUCCGGGAGGUCACAGUUUACCCGCACUGAGCUGCAAAGGUAGGAACGGCGGCCAGCGACCCCACCACCCUCUCAGGCCUCAGCCCAGGCAGCAGGAGCAGUUUGCCAGGAGCACCUAUCUCUGUAAGGAGGACGGACCAGGCCCCUCGAUCUGCUGGGCUGGGCCAAGCCCGCCUGCCGCCCUUCCCCUCUGUGGUGGGUCCCGUGGGGUCCGAUCUGCCUCAUGGAGCUUUGUGACCCCACCGGAGACGGGGCCCACAGUGGGCGGGAAGGCUUGUGCUCCCCAGACCUUUGCCAGCACAGGGCUGAGCAUCCUGGCCACGAGGGGAGCUCAGGCUUGGCUCGUCUCCCUGUAUCUUCCGUCCUCCCCGCUGGACACGCUGAGCCGGGGACAAGACCAGAACUCCAAACCCAUGGCUAAAGCCCAAAGAAACACUCAAGCAGCUUAGAAGAAACAAGUUGUGGCAGCCGGCUUGCCAGAGAUGAAGAGUUAAACUGGUUUUGAGGUCAGUGAGCGACACCCAAAUCUUCCCUUGCAAACAGGCAGGCCUCUUCUGUUCCUCCCGAAAGAGUCAGAAGCUACGAGGCCUUGUGACGACUUCUCUCAGGUAAGGAAGGGUCCAGAUCCCAUCUGCUGUUAUGAACUUGUAACAGAACCCCCACCCCACCCUCCUGGUAAAGAGGAGCCAGGGGGUUGAGCCCCCUCCCCGCCCAGGGGAGACCAUGAGUGUUGGCAGAAUUAACGCUAAGAAGCACAGAUGUUGUAAUCCGAAAGAACCUUCAUGAUCAUUCAGUCCUGUGGCCGCUUAAGACCCUGGAGACUCUCUUAAAUGCAGAUUCAUAGGUCCCUCCCUGAGAUGCUAACUCACUGGUCUAUAGGGGGGCCCAGGUCUCUGAAGUUUCUCCUGAGACGUCCCCAGCCUUGGGAGUCUCUGAUGUGUUGACUGCCAUCUUGCGCGGGUAAGCAAGCUGGAGUGGAGGCGGGUGGGUCCCUUCUGGGCCACGCUGUGGGCCCAGGCAGAGUCGCAGGGCAGGGCCCAACCGGCUGUUCCCUCUGGGCACCAGGCUGCCUCCUGCAGCCCAGCCCUCUGGCUUCUUUUGCCUGGGGCGGGGGUAGGGGUAGGGGGGCAACAUUAUUCCUUUUUAAAAAAAAAAAAAACCUGGCUUCUUUAGGGAUUCCUAAAUUAAAACCUUAUUGAAAAUAUAAGCAGGAUAAUAGUGCCGACUUCCUCCCCACCAGAAGCAUCAGAACGAAGAGAAUGAAAUCUUCCCUAAUUCGUGACUCCUUAAAACACUCAUGUUCCAAACAACUCUUUAAAAAGUACAGGCUGGCUUCUUGCGUCGUUAUUAGUGAUGAUCAUAAGGGGAGCACAGUCGCUGAGUGUGCGGUCCCAGUGCGCAGCUCCGCGCAAGAAAGGACGCAUAAGCGGGCCCGCUGCGCCCUGAGGAGACGUAGGCAGGUGCCUUCUGAGACCUGGGGGGGCCCUCGCCCGCCCAGCCUGUAGUACAGACCGAACCCGCGAUCAGCUUCGGGAUCCCUCCGUUCACAGCGCUCAGGAAGUCACAACCGACGGAUCCCAUUACCGCCUGGGUUGCGAUAUGCUCGCAACGACUCCAUUACCCCUCCCGCUCGGGAGCAACCGCCGCGCACGGAAAAAGCCGGAUCUCAGCUACCGGCUGCAGGGCGGAGAGAGCCGCUGCCUUCCUGCCUUCCCGUUCACCGGAGGCUUCGCUGGCCUGGGGCUGGCUCAGUUCAGUUCAGGCACAGCACCUGCUCCCCCCAGUCCUGCCGGCCUCGGGGGUGCAGGCCUGGCGACGGGGCAUGAGGAUCACCAGUCCCCUGGCCACCCCCAGUCUGGUGGAGCGGGCGGGCCCCCCCCCCCCCCCCCCCGGGGAUUCUAGCACUGACAGGAAGCCUCCACCUCCAGCGGGAAGGACGGCCUUCUGGAAGCCUCCUUCCCGCACAGCCGCGCCCCCGCACCCCUGGCGAGCACAACCCAGGUCUUCUCUUGUCUCCCACCACCACGCUGAGGCCAGGCAGCUUGUUUGGGGUCAUGUGGCCAGAGUCAGGGCAAAAUUAAGCAAUUUCGGUGGUUCAGGUGAAAAAGAAAGCGAAGGAUGGGUCAUGCCACAAAGACCGUUUUUUUCUUUAUAUAUUUUUUGGUCAUCUCGACGCCCAACGUGGGCCUCGAACUCACAACCCCGAGAUCAAGAGUCACACGCUCUUCUGACUCAGCCAGCCGGGUGCCCCAAGACUGUUUUCAUUUGUUCUAUCUAGAGGAAAGCUUCCCUCAAAGCAGCACUGUUCUGGACACAUUCUAAUAUGACGAUUAAAGGCUCCAGAUCUGCCCUCAGGCUCCGACGAGCCCCGCAGCAGUGGGUACGGGGCAGGAGGGCCCAGGGGCAGUGGCCCCCCCAAGGCCGUCCUGGGGGCCCUGCGUACAGCACCUCUCCCCCUGGAGGGUCUGGUUCAUAACACGUACAAAAUGCGAGGUCUGUCGAGCAUCAGACAGGCCGGCGCUCUGAGUGCCGCGUCCCCACCCCGGCCAGCUUUACUCCUUCACCCCUUCUCGGGGGCCGCGAUCACCUUGCUGCUCCGACCAAACAUUGAGCCCUUAUGGCGGAUGCCUCUGUGCCCCUCCCCGGUCUUCUGUCUGCCGUGGGGCCCCGCCGACCCCACCUGCCAGGCACACCCACCGCUCCCAGCACCGGCCUCCCAGACUCGCCGAUGCCGUCCAAAAGCAGCCCAAGCCGGGCUCUCAAACAGGGAACCAGAACAUGCUACCACAGGGCCUUCUCAUAGGUUCUGGACUGAACCGCAGGUCACUCGGCCCAGAGGGGCUGCCUGUCGCCGUCGCCCUCCACUGUAAUUCCUGCACUCCGCUCGCACCGUCUGCUUUUGUCCACGCUUAUGUGCAGGGUUUUCCUGCUUCAAUGUUCUAUCCACCUAGUGCGUGCUCCGGAGAGGAUACGACACUGCCCUCUGCCCCCAGGGGCCCACGACACAGUGCGGGAGCUGCAGCCAGCUCUCCACAAAUACCUGUGGCAGAGGGACCACGGCCUGGAGCCCCAAGCAGCAGCCAGCGCGAUGAGGGCUCAGCCCGUAACUCAGCAUGACCACCAUGAGCCGGCAAGUAAACUGCAGUACACGCGGGUGUGAGACACAUUCACGUUCUUGAAGCGAGCAUCACUAUCUGGACCACAGAUGUGUCGGUCACACGUAUGGGAUCACAGAAAAGACACGAGCGUGUGGGCUUUACGCCUGAAAUUCCAGGAUUUUGGAGGUCUAGUUAUCUGCCCUGGUCGCAGUACGGGUCUGGGCCCCGUAGGAUUGGGCCUCAGCGCGGACAGGAAUCUUGGUUCCCCCAGAGCCAGCUGUGGUUCUGGCUCUGGCUCGGGUGGCCCGCGAUGACAGCCGGGGAAGUGGCUGGAGGAGGAAACUCAAGGGCCGCCAGGAAGGUUGCCGAAUCACCAGCUUGACCCCAGCUGGAAACUAAGAUUCCUCCAAGAUCAAAACCCAGCUCCAAAGAAGCUCCGAGACCUGGUGGCCAGGCCCAGCUCCACCAUCGGGUGAGGCGCUGGGGGCCACAAGUCCGUUAACUGCCGAGCUGACCCUGGGGAGGGUAGAGUCCGUUUCACUUAAAAACACUAAAAAAAAAAAUCUACUUCUUAAAUAACCGUGUAGGCCCUGCUUUCUCUGCAUAGUUGGGUUUCAGAGCUGAAUUUCCAAACGCAGAAGUUAAAGGCUCCUGGAAGGAGAACCCCACAGAUAUCCUGAGAGUGUAAAUGACUUUCUGUGCAGAGCGAGGGGCCUACAGAAGCCAGAGGCUUUGCUUCCCUGCCAUCCCCAGUGACCAACAGUCACAUCACAACACAUCCCAGACGCUGUUCUCAACUCCGUAUUAACUCAUUUGCUCCCCAUGACCACCCUACGAGAAACAUACCGUCAUC